CAUUCCCAUGAAAACAAUAUUACGGAUGGUUGAUAAAUGAGAGGCAUGCACCAACUGUUCAACUAUCUCUCCAGAAGACAGGUUAUUUUUGAACCCCAUGGUUCCGGUAGCACAGAAUGUACAGCCCAUUUUGCAUCCAACCUGAGAGGAUACACACAAGGUUGAUCUUGGUCCUCCAGGACGAGGCUUUCCAUUUAAUUUCCCCAAGCUGGAGUCAUAUCUCAUAAUCACAGACUCCACAAAUGCUCCAUUCUGAAGCUUGAUGAGGAGCUUGGUGGUAACCCCGUCGUUUGACUCGAAGACAGAGUGGACAACAGAAGUUGAAGCUUUGAACUUGGCACGAAGCAAAGUGUAAGCCGACGAGGGCAAAGAUGGAAUAUCUUCCCAAUUGCAAUCUGGAUUCUGUAUUACAUACUUCCAAAUAAGAGGGAUGAAGCGAUUGUUGAUUCCGGCUUUGUCGAAUUCUGCCCUAAUCACUGAAGAAUCGAAUACUGAUUUCAACGCCAUUGAACCUUCACUUCACUUUUUCUUGCCCUAACUGGAGCAACGACGGCCGAUGUUCUAACGGCGACGUUUGCAAUCGGCAAAAACACUAGGUAUAGUUUUGCAAAAUUGAAUUUGGGAAAAGGUCCAAA
rnacentral:misc_RNA from 1 species